rnacentral:rRNA from 1 species
AGUGGACGCUGGCGGUAGGCCUAACACAUGCAAGUCGAACGGCAGCACAGUAAGAGCUUGCUCUUACGGGUGGUGAGUGGCGGACGGGUGAGGAAUACAUCGGAAUCUACUUUUUCGUGGGGGAUAACGUAGGGAAACUUACGCUAAUACCGCACACGACCUACGGGUGAAAGCAGGGGAUCUUCGGACCUUGCGCGAUUGAAUGAGCCGAUGUCGGAUUAGCUAGUUGGCGGGGUAAAGGCCCACCAAGUCGACGAUCCGUAGCUGGUCUGAGAGGAUGGUCAGCCACACUGGAACUGAGACACGGUCCAGACGCCUACGGGAGGCAGCAGUGGGGAAUAUUGGACAAUGGGCGCAAGCCUGAUCCAGCCAUACCGCGUGGGUGAAGAAGGCCUUCGGGUUGUAAAGCCCUUUUGUUGGGAAAGAAAAGCAGCAGGUUAAUACCCCGCUGUUCUGACGGUACCCAAAGAAUAAGCACCGGCUAACUUCGUG